rnacentral:lncRNA from 1 species
GAUAAAGAUAAGGCUAAAUGUAAAACUUGUGGUAAAGAACUUGUUCAUAGGUAUAAGGGUGAUCGUAGCGGAACAGGUAGUUUAGUUAAACAUAUACUUAUACAUCCUAGCGAUAAGGCAAGAUAUCUUCAAAUGAAAGCGGAACAAGUGGGGAGGCCAAGUCCUGAUACUUCAAUUAACCAAAGUACUGGUUCUAACAUGGUUCAACCA